rnacentral:rRNA from 1 species
AAGGAGGCAGCAGUAAGGAAUUUUGGACAAUGGGCGCAAGCCUGAUCCAGCAAUGCCGCGUGCAGGAUGAAGGCCUUCGGGUUGUAAACUGCUUUUGUACGGAACGAAACGGUCCUUUCUAAUACAAGGGGCUAGUGACGGUACCGUAAGAAUAAGCACCGGCUAACUACGUGCCAGCAGCCGCGGUAAUACGUAGGGUGCGAGCGUUAAUCGGAAUUACUGGGCGUAAAGCGUGCGCAGGCGGUUAUGUAAGACAGAUGUGAAAUCCCCGGGCUCAACCUGGGACCUGCAUUUGUGACUGCAUAGCUAGAGUACGGUAGAGGGGGAUGGAAUUCCGCGUGUAGCAGUGAAAUGCGUAGAUAUGCGGAGGAACACCGAUGGCGAAGGCAAUCCCCUGGACCUGUACUGACGCUCAUGCACGAAAGCGUGGGGAGCAAACAGGAUUAGAUACCUGAGUAGUCA